CCAUAGCUGACGAGUCCCAAAUAGGACGAAAUGCGCAUCCUGUAU
rnacentral:hammerhead_ribozyme from 1 species